GGCCAUAUGGCGCAAUGGUAGCGCGUUGCUCUCCUACUGUCUGAUUGCCUCAAGCAGUUUAGUAAAGCAGAGGUUGCAGAUUCGAGUUCUGCUAUGGUCG